GAUGAACGCUGGCGGCGUGCCUAAUACAUGCAAGUCGAGCGAACAGAUGAUGAGCUUGCUCCUCUGACGUUAGCGGCGGACGGGUGAGUAACACGUGGAUAACCUACCUAUAAGACUUGGAUAACUUCGGGAAACCGGAGCUAAUACCGGAUAAUAUAUUGAACCGCAUAGUUCAAUCGAUAAUGACGGUUUUGCUGUCUCUAUUAGAUGGAUCCGCGCCGCAUUAGCUAGUUGGUAAGGUAACGGCGUACCAAGGCAACGAUGCGUAGCCGACCUGAGAGGGUGAUCGGCCACACUGGAACUGAGACACGGUCCAGACUCCUACGGGAGGCAGCAGUAGGGAAUAUUCGACAAUGGGCGAAAGCCUGACGGAGCAACGCCGCGUGAGUGAUGAAGGUCUUCGGGUGGUAAAACUCUGUUAUUAGGGAAGAAAAAAUGUGUAAUUAAAUAUGAACGUCUUGAGGGUACCUAAUGAAAAAGCCACGGCUAACUUCGUG
rnacentral:rRNA from 1 species